AAUAGAAGCAUCUGUCGAAUGGAAACCGGUGCAAACCCGGUACGGUCCCGCCACUGUGAUUAGCGCAAGCUAUAAGUCAGGUCUUUUCGAUAAAUUGCUCGAUUAGCAUUCUGUCCCGAGGCU
rnacentral:sRNA from 1 species